AUCAUUAUAUGAUGAUUUUAGUGUAAAUGUAUACUCUCCAAUUCAAUUCAAAUAGUAAUAUUAUGUACAUAUUUUUGCAACUGAAACUAUGCUUUUUGAAAUUCUAAGCAAGGGACAAUCUUGUUCUUGCAAUGCUGGUUCAACAAGUUUCAACAAUAUAGAAACAGAGAUUUGUGUCUAACUGGGGAAAGUUCUACAGGUCAUUAUAUUCCUCAACUUGCAAAGCUUAUGAUUGAAAUGAACAAAAGAAACAAGCUAUUAAAUCUCAAAGGCAUAUCUGAACUAGGGGAUCAAAAGCAAGCUAUUGAAUCCAAGAGGUAGUAAAACAACAUGGAUCAUCAAAGUUCUUUGACUCAAAAGGUACACAGUUUGAUUGAUUGCCUAGUUAUUUAGAUAUUGAUGCCUCAAGGACCCUAGUGCUGCCUUGAAUUUACUUGAAAUAUUGAUGCCUCGAUGUCCCUACAGAUAUGCCUUGAAUUUACU